UAGUGACUCUAUUGGUAAUACCUUACAAGCAUAAAAUAUGAUACCGAGUAUGUUAAGUACUUCGCAUGAUAAUCCGGGACAUCGUUUAGGCCAUUUAGUUCGAAUUUUAUAUGCUGGCAAUUGCAAAUGUUAGAGCCCAAUUGGUUCAGGCUACAGCAGUAGAAGAAAGUAAACCCAGAAACAAGAGAAAGAAAACAAGUAAAUAAUGUGGAAAUCCAUUUUAGGAGGAGACGAUGAUGAAGAAAGAAAUGAACGCUUCUUCGACGAUCAAACAACCGAUGAUGAUGAUCUUUGUGCUCUCUCUUACACCCAGAGAAUGUACGCGUUUGCUGCUUGUCUGCUCGGCGGAUUUCUCUUCAUAUUCUUGGAAUGAAAUAUUGAAUCCCUUUUCUUUUUAAUCUUAAUUUCAAGGAUUUGGAUCAAUUUUCCUCUUUUCUGGGGAAAAUUUUGGUACCUUGUGUAUUAUAGGGUAUUAAUGUGAUGGAAUUUUUGUUAGUGAAUAAUUGAAUCAUGUGCUUUUGUAUAAUGAAAGUCAAUUAGCUGUUUGAAUUCAUCUUAUGCCUAAAGUUAUAAUUUUUAUGUGUUUACUUUAUUCUAUACUGCUCCCUUGGAUUUGGUGAUUUCAAUGUGCAUGAUGUGUGAUUAUUUUUUGCAUUGAAUGAUUUCUUAGAUUUCAUGUAAUACUGGAAUUACUGAUAAAGGGGCGGUCGAUGAACCGGAUAGCAUCAUGAUUCAUGACUUUGUAGUGGAUAAUUAUUUCAACAAAGAAGGAAAUGAAGGGUCGUUGUGAUUUGUUAAGCAAUCAGCAUCUGCCUUGUAAUGGGUUUAUUUUUUCAUGGAGCCUUUUGUGCUGACUGCCAAGUAGUUGGAUGGUUGACCUUGACCUUCAUUGGCUUUCUAUCUAUGGAAUGGAAUUUAGUUCAGUCUUGAACAUGAUAAAGAUAUGGAAAAAAAAACUUAAGGGCCCUACCUGAAUUGAGGGAGCGACUUUUUGAAUCCGAAAGGGAUUGGCAUUGGGGUUUGGCCGUUUGGAGCACCAUCUAGUUUUCUAUAUUUACACUUUACAGUUUUUUUUUUUUUUUUAUCUCAUAGGGAGUAUUCAAACAAUGAAUAAGCAACCAUGACAAUAGGUGGUGCGUAAAGGUUUAUUGCUUAGGAAUUAGGACUUUUUUUGUUCACCUUGUCCAUGUGGAUUGGCUUUAUUAUGGUAAAUUUCAGCUUAGCAGGCUAGCAGCAUAUGCUAACUUUAUUUCUGCAUGUUUCUUUCACUUGAAUGUGUUGUGUAUUGGAUUUUUCAGGAUCAUUACUAGCUUAAAGCUAAAAAAAUAUAGUACUCUCUACAAUCAGAAAGAUUUAUAUCAUUUGAAUAACACAAGCUUUAUCUUUAUGAAUUGUGACCAAAAGGAUUUUAUGUAAUUCUUCGUGUGAAUCAUCAAAAUUUCUUCCUAACAUAGUGUUAUUUGAAUUUUUGGCAGUCAAUUAUCGUGUUCGUAAAGCCCAUCAAGUUUGCCCUGCUGUUUACUUUUGGGAAUGUGAUGGCUGUUGGAAGCCUUCCUCAUUGGACCAGCUGAGCAAUUAAGAAAGAUGUUUGAUCCUGUUCGUCGUUAUGCAACUGCAGUCUACCUGGGAUGUGUAAUUUUGGCACUAAUUUGUGCUAUAUUGAUCCACAGCAAGAUUUUAACUAUGUUUGCUAUGAUAUGUGAGAUAUGUGCUCUCAUUUGGUACAGUCUAAGCUACAUCCCUUUUGCCAGAAGAGUGGUCUCUGAUGUGAUGAUCCGCCUCUUCGACACUGAAAUUGAAUUUUAGAAGUGUCAUUGUUUUAUCACCUUUCUCCACUCAGUUCACGAUUUUGCUUGGCUCUUUCAGUUUUCUGGUGUUCUAUUUCAAGCAAGUUCAUACAGUUCCUCUUAUAGCCAAUUAGCACUUUGCAAGUUACUCUAAUUUUUCGUGUGCAGUUUCCCAAUUUUACCUGUAAAUUACCCGCAAAACCUUUUUUUUCUUGUUGGACUGGGAAGGAAAAGUUCCGACUAAUCAAUCAAGGUAACAAAACUCCUUGUGUGCUGUAUUGACACUGACCACUUACCUCUGCACCUAGAAUCUUAUGAUGUUGAUUCUCAACAACCUUAAUUCAGCCUUCACCACCUACCCCAGAAUGUAAACCUGUGCUACCAAAAAGCUUUACUUGUAUCAUUUUUGUACAAAUCCUGUUUUUUAUGGGCACUACUCUGAUUGGCUGUGCUCGGUCCGAAUUCUUUGGAAGAAAAAUGUAUGCGUGCGGUAAUUGCUUGACUAUUAAGCAAAAGCUUUCCAGCUUUGAAUUCAAGUGAUGGUUGAUGUUGAUUUCUCUAUUUCAAUUUUAUUCUAAUCGCGUCUAUCUUACCUUAUUAUAUACAAAGUACUUCUGUACAUUAGCAGUUUCUGUAUCUUACCUUAUUAUAUACAAAGUAUUUAUGUACAUUAGUAAAUUUAUAGUUGUAUUAUAAUAUCAGCAGCAGCAUUUCAACCCGACU